GCCACUUAAAGAGCCCAUGCCAUUAAAAUCACAUUUUUCCUGUUGUUUGUUAAAUAACAUAGGUCUGAAUAAGUUUGUGAGCUGUGGUAAGUUUGAAAUCUAUGCAGUUUGUCUGCUGAAUGCAAUAGGCAAUGAAAGGAAAAAGGCAGAAGAAAUGAGCCAAUCUGGAUAAGGUGACACUGUGACGUAGCGUUGUCAAACUAUUAUUCAUGGCCCUGCCCACUUGGUUGGUUCGUAACCACCCACAAGAAUUCUGAAGGAGUCGUGAUUGAGCUAGUGCUAAAUGCUAAUACGUGUAUGGUAGUUGCUUAGUUCGUAGUAACAGGCUAGUUACAGAAUUUUGAAUGCAAUGGCAGAACGACAUCGAAGUACAUGAACUGCGACAUGCUGCCUGCCGCCGGUUGCCGCGGCGCGAGGCACCACCGCCGCGAAGCACCACCGCCCGGCAGCGGGCAGCUGGGCGGUGGUGCCUUGCGCCGGCAGCAGGCAGCAGGCAGCGCGCGGUUCUGUCUACUACAGAUUGAUGUGGAAGUGGAAGAACCAGAGACGUCGGAGAACCCGACGAAGUCCAUUGUGAUUCAUUAUAUCGUCUGGAUGUGCACACAGCUUUUGGCCGUGAUAAUAUGUAUUAUUUGAUAUAGAUAUCUAUGUAUUAUAUGAUAUUAUUUAGAUAUAGAGCUCCAGGACUGUAACGCAAGUGUUGUACACUUCCUUGUUAUUUGGAUAACCGUUCUGCUGUUGGUGUGAUGGUGCAUAACACGUCGGACUCUCGUCUAUGGUAUUUCUACAACUAGACCCGUAGUGGGGGUUAUCUCAGCCAUGGUUGAGAAUGAAUUGGGGGAAAGGAACUUUGGCUUUGACUCCCUGAAGUCAUGAACCACGACAUGGAGGAGAAAGGGAUUGUUGACCGCGGUCGUCUCCCGCCGGAGCCUCGCUGCCGAUGGACCACCGCCUCGGCUUCAGGAUGCGGUGAUUAGCGCUGACCGCUGCCGAGGCGGCGGGAAGCAGGGCUCAAGCGGGAUACAUUCGCGGCCAACAAUCCCUUUCUCCUCCAUGUCGUGGUUCAUGUAGCCUACUUCAGGGAAUAUCUAUAUCAAAUAAUACAUCACGGCCAAAAGCUGUGUGCGCGUCCAGACGAUAUAAUGAAUCACAAAGGACUUCGUCGGGUUCUCCGACGUCUCUGGUUCUUCCACUUCCACAUCAAUCUGAAGUAGACGCGGUCGUUUGAGAUUCAUAAUAACCUAUCGUCUGGAGGCUCACACAGCUUUUGGCCGUGAUAAUAUAUAUUAUAUAUUAUAUGAUAUAGAUAUCUAUGUAUAAUAUGGGUUUCUAAGUGCCAUUGCGAUACAUCCACCGUAAACAGAGCGCAUGGUACCGUGGCUACAAGCUGCUCAGGGCCAGGUGAUAAUAUUAUAUAUUAUAUGAUAUAGAUAUCUAUGUAUAAUAUGGGUUUCUACGAGCCAUUGCGAUACAUCCACCGUAAACAGAGCGCAUGGUACUGUCAGUGGCUACAAGCUGCUCAGGGCCACACCCCCACCCCCCUCCUUGACCUGCCUUGACACGCCCACCGAAACAGCGCGUUUGGGGGAAGCUCAAUGUGCGACUGUUUCGGAGUGACUGUAACUCUGCACCACGGCUGAAUUUCGGGGACGUCUUUGAAUACUGUGUUUGUGGCCCACUAAUACCUACAUUAAAGCAUCAUAAAAUAGAAUGGCAUGGGAUCUUUAAA